rnacentral:rRNA from 1 species
AAUAAAACAUAGCUUGUGAUGGAGUGUAAAACUUGUUGACACAAAGUGAUUUCUGCCCAGUGCUUUGAAUGUGAAUAUGAAGUAAUUGUAGAAGCUCGAGGUAAACGGCGGGAGUAACUAUGACUCUCUUAAGGUAGCCAAAUGCCUCGUCAUCUAAUUAGUGACGCGCAUGAAUGGAUUAAUGAGAUUCCCACUGUCCCUAUCUGCCAUCUAGCGAACCCACAGCCAAGGGAACGGGCUUGGAAUAAUCAGCGGGGAAAGAAGACCCUGUUGAGCUUGACUCUAGUCCGACUUUGUGAAAUGACUUUCGAGAUAUAGCCUAGGAGGGAGCUAACGCGCCGCUGUAAAACCUCUGCUCGCUUAGCCAUUUUACUUACUCCGUGAAGAAGUGGCCAACUCGUUGGUUCUUAGAUUUAAGCACCUAUAUCUUAGGUGCGAGCUUUGCGGAGGACAUGGUCAGGUGGGGAGUUUGACUGGGGCGGUACAUCUGUUAAACAAUA